AAAAAAUCACCCAAAGAAUGUAACCAUGGGAUCCUAGAAGGGGAACCUUACUACCCAGUGAAGAGGGGGAUCCAAAUGAAGUUGGUGGAAUGGGAGCCCUGUUCACUCUGUGGGAAAACUUGGCCGCCACAGUGGGUGACGGAGGAGAACACCACAAAUUAAGGAAAUGUUCAAUCCCAUUGUCUUGUUCCAUAAGUUAUGUGUAUGUUGUUUACAGUAUAUUAAAAAAAAUUAAAA